UGUCUUCAGGAAAGCAGAUUUGACAUGAAGGCAAGUGCUUUAACGUGUCGGUAAAGAAUUAAGACAGCUCAAAUUGUGCAGAGCAUUCUGCAGUUGUUUGUCGUGAUUAGAGAUCUUAAGAAAUGAUAAUACGAUGAGAAGAUGAUGUUAUGCUGGAGAGCUUUGAACACUGAGCCCUGUAAAUUCACAGCAAACACUCCUGAGUCUGAAUCUGAAUUCAUAUUAAGUGCAUAGCCAAGGAACCAAUCUAAGCUCUGCAGUUUUGUCACAUCAGUAGUGAAUGUCAGCAGACAAUUAAACAACUCACUGGAGAAGGAGGAUCCACAAAUAUUCUCAUCCUCAAUGAUUAGGAAAUCCAGCAUCGGUGUAAAAGUUCUGUGGUCUGCAGUUGUUGUUGAGGAAGAUUGUCCGAGAGUGGAGCCUGUCGGUGUUGGAAUUUUGCAUGGGUGACCACAGGGACAUUUUUUUUCUGGAGGACUCAAACAUGCUGAGGACAUGCUGACCAGAUGCAGACCCAUCAUCCAUGGUUUGACCUUCUAUAUGGUUGAGUAUCACAGGCAGGUGAAGGCUUCAGGCACCCCUGGAGUGUCCUGAAAAUAGUGUCUGGUGAAUCCGUAUGUGGUUCCUCCUCCACUGGGUAUUGGCAAUGCCCUGUUUCCUGUGAAGAAGGGGGCACCUAGAAUGAAGGCAGUCACCCUUAUUCUCCAUCACUUCGCCAUUUUUCCUGAGCAAUAGUGGAUACAGUGGUGAAGUGUAGGUUUAUGCUCAUAUCCAGCAGAUGGUGAGGGAAGCUAUUGCAUGCAAUAAUGAAAGUGAUGGACGAUGAGCCUUGGUCAGAGGCAUGUACAGUGGAAGAGUUAGGGCGAGUGUGAAGUAGCAGACAGGAAAUUGUGGCACUUACCCUUGCGAACAUGGAAGAUCAUUAAUCUGCUUGCAGCAUUGUUGCAUGUUCCUUCGGACUGAGUGGACACAUCACUUACCUGGGUGGCAUGUUAGGGCAAAGCUGGUGCUGUUGUCUCCUUUGGCAGGCCUCAGAAAAAAAGAACAGUCUUCUCUCACCAUCUCAUCCACCAGGAUGUCCAGAUCCCUGCCAGCAAAUUGGGGUGACACUUGAGCCAUCUCCAGGGCAACUCGUCCAACAAUGGAAUUAUAAAGCAUAAUUCCUGGCUUACAGCAUUUGAUCUUCUGUAUAUCUUGUAUUUUAGAUUAUUUACAGUGUGGAAACAGGACUUUCGGCACAACAAGUCCACACCAAC